rnacentral:rRNA from 1 species
UAGGGAAUCUUCGGCAAUGGACGAAAGUCUGACCGAGCAACGCCGCGUGAGUGAAUAAGGUUUUCGGAUCGUAAAACUCUGUUGUUAGAGAAGAAUAAGGACGUUAGUAACUGAACGUCCCCUGACGGUAUCUAACCAGAAAGCCACGGCUAACUAAGUGCCAGCAGCCGCGGUAAUACGUAGGUGGCAAGCGUUGUCCGGAUUUAUUGGGCGUAAAGCGAGCGCAGGCGGUUUCUUAAGUCUGAUGUGAAAGCCCCCGGCUCAACCGGGGAGGGUCAUUGGAAACUGGGAGACUUGAGUGCAGAAGAGGAGAGUGGAAUUCCAUGUGUAGCGGUGAAAUGCGUAGAUAUAUGGAGGAACACCAGUGGCGAAGGCGGCUCUCUGGUCUGUAACUGACGCUGAGGCUCGAAAGCGUGGGGAGCAAACAGG